GAUGAACGCUGGCGGCGUGCCUAAUACAUGCAAGUCGAGCGAACAGAUGAGGAGCUUGCUCCUCUGACGUUAGCGGCGGACGGGUGAGUAACACGUGGAUAACCUACCUAUAAGACUGGGAUAACUUCGGGAAACCGGAGCUAAUACCGGAUAAUAUAUUGAACCGCAUGGUUCAAUAGUGAAAGACGGUUUUGCUGUCACUUAUAGAUGGAUCCGCGCCUCAUUAGUUAGUUGGUAAGGUAACGGCUUACCAAGGCAACGAUGCGUAGCCGACCUGAGAGGGUGGUCGGCCACACGGGACCUGAGACACGGUCCAGACUCCUACGGGAGGCAGCAGUAGGGAAUCUUCCGCAAUGGGCGAAAGCCUGACGGAGCAACGCCGCGUGAGUGAUGAAGGUCUUCGGAUCGUAAAACUCUGUUAGUAGGGAAGAACAAAUGUGUAAGUAACUAUGCACGUCUUGACGGUACCUAAUCAGAAAGCCACGGCUAACUACGUG
rnacentral:rRNA from 1 species